rnacentral:sRNA from 1 species
GCGGCGGCGCCGGCCUGGCCUGGCCUGGCUGAGGGGAGGCGGCGGGCGGGCGCGAUGGCGGAGGCCGGGCCACAGGCGCCGCCGCCCCCGGGCACUCCAAGCCGGCACGAAAAGAGCCUGGGACUACUCACCACCAAGUUCGUGUCGCUUCUGCAGGAGGCCAAGGACGGCGUGCUUGACCUCAAGCUGGCAGCUGACACCCUAGCUGUACGCCAGAAGCGGCGGAUUUACGACAUUACCAAUGUUUUGGAAGGUAUCGGGCUAAUCGAGAAAAAGUCCAAGAACAGCAUCCAGUGGAAGUGAGUGGGGAUAGUGGGAGGGUAGUAGAGUCUCCCACCCAGAAGUGUCGGGCGUGGGGUGGAGGGUGCCAAAGAAGGCAGGGGCCAUGGGACCCAGAGUUCUCAGCAGUCCCUCUCAGCCCCACUCCCUGGGCUCAGGGGUGUGGGGCCUGGCUGCAAUACCCGGGAGAUUGCCGACAAGCUGAUUGAGCUCAAGGCAGAGAUCGAGGAGCUGCAGCAGCGGGAGCAAGAACUAGACCAGCACAAGGUGUGGGUGCAGCAGAGCAUCCGGAACGUCACAGAGGACGUGCAGAACAGCUGAUAUCCUCCUGGUGGUCCCUGCUGGGGGGAGUGGGCAAGGGGCCCUCUGGUUCAACUUGCCCCGGGCCCUGUGCCUCUUGGGAGCUUGUCUUGUAGCCCCUGGCCAUG